rnacentral:lncRNA from 1 species
GAAGCACGUUGAAACCAGAACUACAUAGCUCUGAGGAAAUCAAAGAACAUUUGUCUGGGGUUGGCCCAAAGGCCCAGUUAGAACCCAGGUAUUCCAUCCUGGGCAAGCUCUUUACAGGUGCUUCAGCUUCUGGGAGGUUAGAACAGGUACAGAGCAUCAUAGUCACUGAAACGAAUGAGCACACAUACAGUGCUCAGAACAGGGUCAGCCUGGGUGGACUGCCCACUGUGAACUGUUGCCAAAUGGAGGCUCAGCCUCCCCCAUACCAACCAACACUACAAUGAGGUAUGUGAACACAUAAACACACUGAAAAGAUCUUAACAUCUGCCUUUCCUUCCUGCAAAAUCCCCAAGAUCAUGAGGCUCAAAUCUCAUUCUAUCAAGUAUACAAAUUACACGGAUGUUACCUAAGGCCAACACAUGAAUUAAACAGUAUCUUCAAUUUCACUCACAUGCUGUUGUUGUAAGGUCCCAUCUCUAAGCUCAUUAAUUGGAGUGCUGGAUUCAGA